rnacentral:misc_RNA from 1 species
AGCAGCCGCGGUAAUUCCAGCUCCAAUAGCGUAUAUUAAAGUUGCUGCAGUUAAAAAGCUCGUAGUUGAAUUUCGGGACCAUCAUGUCGGUCGUGCCUAGGUACGUACUGGCAUUGUUGGUUUCUACCUUCUGACGAACCAUGAUGUCAUUUAUUUGGUGUCGUGGGAAACCAGGACUGUUACUUUGAAAAAAUUAGAGUGUUUAAAGCAGGCUCACGCUUGAAUACAUUAGCAUGGAAUAAUGAAAUAGGACGUUUGAUUCUAUUUUGUUGGUUUCUAGGAUCGACGUAAUGAUUAAUAGGGAUAGUUGGGGGCAUUAGUAUUCAAUUGUCAGAGGUGAAAUUCUUGGAUUUAUUGAAGACUAACUACUGCGAAAGCAUUUGCCAAGGAUGUUUUCAUUAAUCAAGAACGAAAGUUAGGGGAUCGAAGACGAUCAGAUACCGUCGUAGUCUUAACCAUAAACUAUGCCGACUAGGGAUCGGAUGAUGUUAAUUUUUUAAUGACUCAUUCGGCGCCUUAC